rnacentral:rRNA from 1 species
GUGAGUAACACGUGGGCAAUCUGCCCUUCACUCUGGGACAAGCCCUGGAAACGGGGUCUAAUACCGGAUGACACUCCUUCCUGCAUGGGGAGGGGUUGAAAGCUCCGGCGGUGAAGGAUGAGCCCGCGGCCUAUCAGCUUGUUGGUGGGGUGAUGGCCUACCAAGGCGACGACGGGUAGCCGGCCUGAGAGGGCGACCGGCCACACUGGGACUGAGACACGGCCCAGACUCCUACGGGAGGCAGCAGUGGGGAAUAUUGCACAAUGGGCGAAAGCCUGAUGCAGCGACGCCGCGUGAGGGAUGACGGCCUUCGGGUUGUAAACCUCUUUCAGCAGGGAAGAAGCGAAAGUGACGGUACCUGCAGAAGAAGCGCCGGCUAACUACGUGCCAGCAGCCGCGGUAAUACGUAGGGCGCAAGCGUUGUCCGGAAUUAUUGGGCGUAAAGAGCUCGUAGGCGGCUUGUCACGUCGGAUGUGAAAGCCCGGGGCUUAACCCCGGGUCUGCAUUCGAUACGGGCUAGCUAGAGUGUGGUAGGGGAGAUCGGAAUUCCUGGUGUAGCGGUGAAAUGCGCAGAUAUCAGGAGGAACACCGGUGGCGAAGGCGGAUCUCUGGGCCAUUACUGACGCUGAGGAGCGAAAGCGUGGGGAGCGAACAGGAUUAGAUACCCUGGUAGUCCACGCCGUAAACGUUGGGAACUAGGUGUUGGCGACAUUCCACGUCGUCGGUGCCGCAGCUAACGCAUUAAGUUCCCCGCCUG